UCUCCGUAGGUGAACCUGCGGAGGGAUCAUUACCGAGUGAGGGUUCCGGCCCGACCUCCAACCCUUUGUGAAUUCGACCCAGUUGCCUCGGGGGCGACCCUGCCGUUCGGCGCGGCGCCCCCGGAGGCUCAUCAAACACUGCAUCUCUGCGUCGGAGUCUUAAUGAAUUUAAACAAAACUUUUAACAACGGAUCUCUUGGUUCUGGCAUCGAUGAAGAACGCAGC
rnacentral:misc_RNA from 1 species